UUUUCAAAUGCACGUUACCAUUCUUGUAUUGGUGCGGGUUAAUAAUUUCAAGCUUUUUUCAUGUCAGAGAAAGCAGCCCUGAUCGACGGCGACUGGGACCCAACAAAAUGAUUCCUAUUCAAAAACGCAGCAGUCACAGCCUAUAGUAUCAGGCGACUUGCCGAGUUUUCUCUGUUGGCGGUUUCUAUCGGAGUGCCCAAAGCGCUCAACGGAGGUGCUGCAGAAGUGACAACCAAGGUUCCGCCUAAUAUGGUGACGCCACCUCAAGCUAUCAUGAAUCCAUCGAUGACAACUGCCCUUUCGGCGUAUGCACAAUUGGGCAUGCAGAGGGCCAGCUAGGACUCUGAGUGUGCUAUGGAGUUUAACGGAUGAGACGGAAAGUCCAAUUUACGAAUCCUUUACUUCGCCUUAGGGGACAGCCCACAAACACUGUUUGUAAACUGUGUAGUGGUUUUUAUGUCCUACAAUAACCUCCAACGGGAGUUGCUUGCUUCUUACCCGAGCACAGACCUCACGGGGAGGGUCAAUGCUGCACUACAAGCAAGGAGCCAGCGCAACAUUGGUAGCAUGUAGAUAUCUGCAGAACAGAUGUGCGGCCUAUUCCGCCGAGUUGAUCUAAACAAUGAGCGAGGACAGCAAGCUUCGCCAUCUUCCUUUUAUUACAAGCUACUGAAGAAAGUAUAUUUCUAAUCCUAUUGCAGGAAAAGCUACGAGGCGAGAAAUGCGAAUUCACAAGACAAUGCAAAGAUGGCCUGUGCUGCCUAAAAAAGGGCAGCUACGGACCAACGUGCCAACCAAUUGCACAAUUACGCGAAAAGUGCACCACGAGAGCUGUGGACGGAGUCUACAAAAUACGUUGCCCCUGUGCUGAUCACGCCCGCUGCCACGUCAGAAUUCACAUUUGUGUAUCAGCGAGAAAAGUACUGAACUCGACCAUUGGAGCGUCCAAGAGCUGAAAUAAAAAGUGGACAUUUUUCUCUUAAGA
rnacentral:lncRNA from 1 species